rnacentral:rRNA from 1 species
CCUACGGGUGGCAGCAGUGAGGAAUAUUGGUCAAUGGGCGAGAGCCUGAACCAGCCAAGUCGCGUGAAGGAUGACGGCCCUACGGGUUGUAAACUUCUUUUGUCAGGGAGCAAUUGGGUCCACGCGUGGGCUUAGCGAGAGUACCUGAAGAAAAAGCAUCGGCUAACUCCGUGCCAGCAGCCGCGGUAAUACGGAGGAUGCGAGCGUUAUCCGGAUUGAUUGGGUUUAAAGGGUGCGUAGGCGGAAUAUCAAGUCAGCGGUAAAAUUUCGGGGCUCAACCCCGUCGUGCCGUUGAAACGGGUGUGCUUGAGUGGGCGAGAAGUAUGCGGAAUGCGUGGUGUAGCGGUGAAAUGCAUAGAUAUCACGCAGAACUCCGAUUGCGAAGGCAGCAUACCGGCGCCAGACUGACGCUGAGGCACGAAAGCGUGGGUAUCGAACAGGAUUAGAUACCCGGGUAGUC